CUCUGGAUUAUUGACCUCUGCCUACCCAGACCCUGAGUCUGCCUGCCGUCCGGCCCACCCCUCCUCCCGUGUCAUCGAUGACCAUCCGGCGUACACAGUGAGAUGCUUCCUGAGUGUUUGACCACAGGGCAGCGGUUUCCAGUAUCUGGUUGACUGGGAGGGUUAUGGCCCGGAGGAGAGGUGCGGGGUCCCGGCUAGAGACAACCUGGACCCAGCCCUCAUCGACCGACUUCCACCGCCGGCACCCCGCCCUCCUGGUUUUGACCCUUGCCUGCCCUGACUCUGAGACCGCCUGCUUGGCCACUCUGCCUGCCCCUAACCCCGAGCCUGCCUCCCGUCCGGUACAGUUGCCCCACCUCUGGUUUACUGACCUCUGCCUGCCUUCACCUGUCUAUUCCCUUCCUUUGUUGGAUUAUUAAACAAUUUUUAAUUCGA